rnacentral:rRNA from 1 species
UAACAGGGGAGCUUGCUUCCGCUGACGACCGGCGCACGGGUGCGUAACGCGUAUACAAUCUACCUUAUACUGGGGUAUAGCCUUUAGAAAUGAAGAUUAACCCCCCAUAGUCUCUUAGAGUGGCAUCAUUUUAAGAGUAAAGGUUACGGUAUAAGAUGAGUAUGCGUUCUAUUAGUUUGUUGGUGUGGUAACGGCACACCGAGACUACGAUAGAUAGGGGCCCUGAGAGGGGGAUCCCCCACACUGGUACUGAGACACGGACCAGACUUCUACGGGAGGCAGCAGUAGGGAAUAUUGGUCAAUGGGCGAGAGCCUGAACCAGCCAUGCCGCGUGCAGGAAGACGGCCUUCUGGGUUGUAAACUGCUUUUAUAUGGGAAGAAAACGGCCUUGCGAGGCAGAUUGACGGUACCAUAUGAAUAAGCACCGGCUAACUCCGUGCCAGCAGCCGCGGUAAUACGGAGGGUGCAAGCGUUGUCCGGAUUUAUUGGGUUUAAAGGGUACGUAGGCGGCCAAUUAAGUCAGUGGUGAAAGCCAGCAGCUCAACUGUUGAACUGCCAUUGAUACUGAUUGGCUCGAGUUCUGUCAAGGUAGGCGGAAUUGAUGGUGUAGCGGUGAAAUGCAUAGAUACCAUCAGGAACACCGAUUGCGAAGGCAGCUUACUAGGCAGAAACUGACGCUAAUGUACGAAAGCGUGGGGAUA